rnacentral:lncRNA from 1 species
GCGUGGAUCCAAGAAAAGGAGAAGCUGGAAAGAGAACGAAAGGGGAAGCGGGGGAAAAAAAAUAAUAAAACCUCAACCAAAAAACCCGGCCCUGAAUCAGGGAUGGCUUCACAGCGCCUCAAGCAAACCCGGCGUGCGGGCUACCGUACGGGACCGGAGCGGCAUCCCCGCGCCGCGCUGCCGGCUGCCCCUAUAUCCCAAAACUUUGCAAAGCUCCUCCCUUCCGUUGGAUGGAACCCAGCAGUUUUUUUUUUCCCAUUUGGAAAUUGUCAAACAGUGGUUAAACAAUCCUUUGGCAAACAAGUAGCAC